UUGAAAUGUAGACGCGACUCCUGUUGUUACAUUUAUAUUCAUAUCCACAUGUGGAUUAUUUAGUGGCAGACUAUGAAAUGGCAUGGAUGAAUUGUCCUUCUGCUUGUUGAAGCAUCUAGGACAGGGGUGUCCAACGCCAGUCCUGGUGGGCCGCAGUGGCUGCAGGUUUUCAUUCUAACCAUCUUCUUCAUUAGUGACCAGUUUUUGCUGCUAAUUAACUUCUUUUGCCUUUGUUUUAAUUAACUUGACUCAGACCCCUUAGUUCUUUCUUUUUCCUUAAUGAGGAGCCAAACAAUAAUGAGACACAAAACAAGCUGCCACAUCACCAGCUAACCACAUUAUCUGAACAUAAAGAAAGGUGAGGGUCUCAGUAAGGUUGAUCUC